GUGAAGCAGGCAACAGCUCAGAUUUGAAAUCUAACUCUUUGAGUUCGAGUUGUAAUCUGUAGAGGAUGCUUUUGAUGCGAUGCCUUCUGAGUUCCCUGGAACGGGACGCCAUAGAGGGUGAGAGCCCCGUACGGUUGGACAUCAAAUCUUUGUAAAGCACCUUCGACGAGUCGAGUAGUUUGGGAAUGCUGCUCAAAGCGGGAGGUAAAUUUCUUCUAAAGCUAAAUAUUGGCCAGAGACCGAUAGCGCACAAGUAGAGUGAUCGAAAGAUGAAAAGCACUUUGAAAAGAGGGUUAAAAAGCACGUGAAAUUGUUGAAAGGGAAGCGUUUAUGACCAGACUUGUUUUUAGCUGAUCAUCUGGUGUUCUCACCAGUGCACUCGGUUAUAUUACAGGCCAGCAUCGGUUUUUUUAGAGGCAUAAAGGUUUUAGGAACGUAGCUCUUUCGGGAGUGUUAUAGCCUAUUACACAAUACCUCUGAGGGGACCGAGGCCCGCGCAUUGCAAGGAUGCUGGCGUAAUGGUCAUCAGCGACCCGUCUUGAAACACGGACCAAGGAGUCAAGCAUUAGGGCGAGUGUUUGGGUGAAAAACCCGCACGCGAAAUGAAAGUGAACGCUGGUGAGAGCUUCGGCGCAUCAUCGACCGAUCCUGAAGUUUUCGGAUGGAUUUGAGUAAGAGCCUUAACGCUUGGACCCGAAAGAUGGUGAACUAUGCUUGUAUAGGGUGAAGCCAGAGGAAACUCUGGUGGAGGCUCGCAGCGGUUCUGACGUGCAAAUCGAUCGUCAAAUAUGAGCAUGGGG
rnacentral:rRNA from 1 species